rnacentral:rRNA from 1 species
GAUGAACGCUGGCGGCGUGCCUAAUACAUGCAAGUCGAACGAAUCUUCUUCGGAAGAUGAGUGGCGAACGGGUGAGUAAUACAUAGGUAACCUGCCCCUGUGCGGGGGAUAACAGGAGGAAACUCCUGCUAAUACCGCAUAGCCAUGAGCACCGCAUGGAGCUCAUGCCAAAUAUCCUUUCGGGGAUAGCGCAGGGAUGGACCUAUGGCGCAUUAGAUGGUUGGCGGGGCAACGGCCCACCAAGGCAACGAUGCGUAGCCGGCCUGAGAGGGCGGACGGCCACAUUGGGACUGAGACACGGCCCAGACUCCUACGGGAGGCAGCAGUAGGGAAUUUUCGGCAAUGGGGGAAACCCUGACCGAGCAACGCCGCGUGAGCGAAGAAGGCCUUCGGGUCGUAAAGCUCUGUUGUAAAGGAAGAAUGGCGCAUACAGGAAAUGGUAUGCGAGUGACGGUACUUUACCAGAAAGCCACGGCUAACUACGUGCCAGCCGCCGCAGUAA